rnacentral:lncRNA from 1 species
ACUCCUUCCAUGUGAGGACACAGUAAGAUGGCUGACUAUGAAUUGGGAAGCAGGCUUUCACCAGAAACCAAACCUGCUGGUGCCUUGAUCUUAGAUGUCCAGCCUCUAGAAUGGGGAAAGUAUGGCAACCUGAAAGGCCAAACAUCAGGCCUUGGGGAGAGUUAAGAACGUGCAAAACAGGUUUUGUGGAACAUGGCAUCGGUUGUUGUUUGAAGAUUCAAAAUGAUGGAAAAUAACUCCCUGCUCAAGUAAUGGUUCAAUCUGGAAGAAAUACAUUAUUUAAAAAAGAAAUUCCCAAAGAUGCUAAAACAUGGAAACAACUGCUUAGAAUACAGAGCAACAAGAAAAAGCAAGAUAAAAGGUAAAUAAAAGAAAAGAAAUUGAACAUCAAACAUGUUUCUCAGAAAGUCAGAAAGAUAAGGAUGUAUUAUUUGGAAGAUUAGUCAGGAUUUUGUAUUUUUAUUGUUAGUGAAGAACAGUGUUUAAAGGCAAGAGCUCAAUCUUACUACAUGGCAAUAUAGUGCUUACAUGGAUCUGGAUGGUUACACUACUGUACGUACCAGCAUAAGAUGUUGACAAUAACUUGGUCCUUUAUCAUGCCCAUUCAAUAGGAGCUAUUGAAGACUCAUGUUGAGACGGAGAUCAUAAACAGGGGCAGCUUUGAUUUCAAGAGCUAGAGUAGAUAUGUAAUUGGAACAGUUGAACUUUGAAUCUCACGGGACAUUGGGGCAAGAAAGCCUUUCAACGGCUUCUAGUUCAAGUCUCAGAUCCUCAAGCAGAGAAGACAGUGAGCGAUUUCAUCGUGGCAUAUCAUCUAGUUUAUAGGAGACUGGGUCCCUAUUUGUAAAACUAACUUUUUGUGAAGGUCGGUGUGAGAUCUGGAGCGACAAAAGCUAGAAGAAAUAAAAUAAAAAAUUGCCUCUGAGAAACAAUUGGAUAUCAGUUAUGGUUUGGAUUAAGAAUGCUUAACACAGAGUUAGCAAGGAGGGCUGAGCAUUUGUAACCACAUGAACUGAAAUUUUAAAGCUUCCACUGGUUCAAAGAAUAUACCGAUAAUUAUGUCUUUUUUUUAAAAUUGCUUUAGCAUCAGGAUCAGGAAGCUGGUUGAGUCUUGGUAAAAGCACCAAUCCUAUUUCCAUUUUUAUUCCUCUUCCAAUUUUAUAUAAAAGGUACAUUUUCAUUAGAGGAAUUAGGUAGCUAAUUCUCUUGGAAAGAUUCAGCUGUCACUGAGUAACACAAUCUUCUCCUGCCCUCCUCACCCAGGCUGGCAGUGACUGGACUCCAGCUAGAGUGGCUCUCAUUUGUUAGGACACUUCGGGCUGCCGUGACAGCUGACAGGAGAGUAGUAACAGCUAAGGUGUCAAGCCAUCCCUUCCCCAAUUCCAUUUGCUUUGGGAACGUGCUAACUUGAAAGUCCAUAAGGGUCAUUUAAGAACAAGUGUUAGUAGACAGCAUAGGUUUAUGUUCUUCUCCAUAGCCCACUUAAGAGGGAAAAUAAUGCUUAUUUUUUGUUUAAGACCAUUGUAUUUAAGUGAUUUUAUGAUCAUCGAGACAAAAUACCUUGGUGCAUGUAUCAUCUUGAUGUUCGAGCAACCAAAAGAAUUGAGUCAGUUUACAAAUGUUUUCGACCCCACACCUAAGGGAGAGUGGAUACAUUUUUUUUCUGUGGUAAAGGAUGACAAAAUACUAGUUUGAUAGCAGAUGUAACAACAAAUAGAUUAGAUUUCCAGCGUAUGUAGGACUAUGUUUUCUAAAAAAUAAAAAAAUCAUUCACCAACCAUCAUUCCCUUUCGAUCUUAGAUGUGAUAAUGUGCACAGUAAGGUUGGGUAAAAUUCACAAAUCAACAAUAUGCAAGGAACGUUGAAAUGAGUUAAGCACCACAGGGAACCAAAACUGCGCAUGACACGGUUCCUACUUUCAAGGAACUUCCUAACACAUUGGAAAGACAGUUACAUGUAAGUAUCGUGUCGUGAAAUAUCACCCCAAUUGAUAACAAUUUUUACCUAAGUAAAAUGAUGAUUUUGCCAUUUCAGAGACACACUGUGGUUUAUUAGAACGAGCGCUUGCCUUGGAAUCAAAUAUCUCAGUCAGCAUCUGAAAACUGAUGCUUCCUAGCUAUUACUAAACUUCUCUGUAUUCACUUUUCUCAUCUAUAAGAAGGUUGAACUAGAUUAUUUCCGAGUUCAAACAUUCAGCAGUUUAUGAUCUCUUAAGAAUGUGUGCUACGUUUGUUAGUGGUUUAUAAUGCAGCUAACGGGUAAUAUUAGUAAAUUAUUAAAAAAUUAUUAAAAAUAUUACCCAAGAUUUAAGUGAAUUUAGGUUAACAAAAGAAGUUCCACAUUCUAAAAAUGUUUGAACAAUGACUUGAAAUAAAAAUGUCUUUGCCACAUGCCUUCCACUAAUGUAAUUAGGGCAUUUACAAAUGAAUACAUUUUUAUCAUGUUUAAGUAAGACAAACUGAACUUCUGUAUGGUGCUACUAUUUACACGUGAAGAUGUUGGCUUUUUGGUUUAUUCUACUGACUUCUGCCAACCCCUCGACUGAAGGCAAAGUGAUCUUACCAUCCUCGAUUUGGGGCAAUCAGCCAUCACAAAACAAUUCCUGGUAAUAAACAUUAGAAGGAGAGGCCGUCAAACAGCUCCAGAAUGAUAAAUAAUGAUAUCAUUUUCCAAAUAGGAAACAGGAGGAGGUUAAUUUAAAAUAAACCACUAUGAGGUUUCUCACAGAGUUAUCAUCACCUGCCUUUCAAAAUAAGAGUGAUCAUUACAUGUGAGGGCAAUUGUUCAUCAGAACAUCUUGUUUACUUGGCUGAUUGUUCUCCCCAGGUAGAGCUCUUUUCAACAGAUCAAUCAGCAGUUUUAAUCGGCUUUCAUGACUAUUUAACAGGAUAAUUUGGUCAAAUGGCACAUGUUAUAUAAAUUACCGUCUCUUUUUUUCCCCAUCACAAACACACGCACUCAAGAGUUUCAUGCAGAACUGUUGUCACAUUCUAGCUCUCCCACGUUCCUGGAAAGUUGGGCAAGUUACUCCAAAUUUUGAGUCUCAUUUUCCUCCUCCAUCGAAUGAACGUAACAAUACCUACUCAUUAGCUUAAUGUGAGGACAAAGUGUGUUAAUGUGAAUAACAAACCUAGUAUUGCGACCAGAACAUAACAGGCACCAAGUAAACGGUGGUUACUAUCAUCCUAACCUACAAGAAGACUCAGUACCCUAAGUGUCUUGAAAACGCGAUGAUGAACCUGGUCUUGCAUGUCUAUUUUGUUUUUUUAUAGGAUAAAGACUAGUAUGUCUUUACAUAUAGAAAACAUGGAUUCCUGAAAAGUGAGGGUUAUUUAAGCUGAGAAGUCGAAGAUCAAAGUGCCAGCAGAUUCUGUGUCUGGUGAGAACCUGCUUCCUGGUUCGAAGACAGCCGUCUUCUCACUUUAUGAGAAGUGUCCUUACGUGGCAGAAGGGGUGAGGGGGCUCUCUGCGGUCUCUUUUAUAAGAGCACUAAUCCCAUUCAUGAGGGCUCCACUCUCAUGACCCAAUCACUUCUCAAAGGCCCCACUUCCCAGUACAAUCACAUCUGGAAUUAGGAUUUCAACAUAUGAAUUUGGGGGGAUAUAAACAUUCAGUCUAUAGCAUUUCGCUACAUUGUAAAAUGGGAAAAAUAUUCUUCUGGAUGGGAGAGGCAAUCAGCUCAGGGUAACUUGACUCAUUACCUCUCUGGUAGAACAAUCGAUCUGGUAGCUCACAGCUGACAUUUAUUUGGGUUAUUUGUUGACCUCACUGGACACAACGAAGAAAAACCACGGGGUGGUGGGAGCGGGAAACACCUAUGGGUGAGGUUGAAGUAGGUUGUUGCAGUAGAGAAGGAACAGAAGAGAACCAAUAACAAGGGACUGGAGACCUUUAGGGGGCGGCAAUCAAAGCUCACUAUGACCCACAGGCAAGGCAUGAACUCUGGAAUACGGUUGUUCAGGGGAUGGAGAAUGAAGAGCAGGAGACUUCCACGAGUUACUUCACGUACACAGAGUUGAGAUGCUUCAGAUAGGAUGCCCAAUUGUCUGAUUUUUCUAGGGCAGAGGGAUUUUCUAGACUAUGGGAAUUUUAAGUCCUAAAACUGAAACAGUUCCAGGCUCCUAGUUCAGGCUCAUUGAUAAUAAAAAGCAAAAGAGAUAGAGGCCUUGGCUACUUUAUGAUAAAGCAAAUAUCAAAUUCACAACUGCUGGCCUGUGUGUAACAUGAUACCAAACUGGAAUUUAUUUUCAG